rnacentral:rRNA from 1 species
UACGGGAGGCAGCAGUAGGGAAUUUUUCACAAUGGGCGAAAGCUUGAUGGAGCAAUACCGCGUGAAUGAUGAAGGUCUUCGGAUUGUAAAAUUCUUUUAUAAGGGACGAACGAUAUGAACAGGAAAUGGUUCGUAAGUGACUGUACCUUUUGAAUAAGUAACGGCAAACUAUGUGCCAGCAGCCGCGGUAAU